UAGUAACUGCGAGUGAAGAGGGAAAAGCUCAAAUUUGAAAUCUGGUGGUUCUUGUGACCAUCCGAGUUGUAAUUUAGAGAAGUGUUACCCGCGCUGGACCGUGUACAAGUCUCCUCGAACGGAGCAUCAUAGAGGGUGAGAAUCCCGUAUAUGACACGGACUCCCAGGGCUUUGUGGUACGCUCUCAACGAGUCGAGUUGUUUGGGAAUGCAGCUCUAAAUGGGUGGUAAAUUCCAUCUAAAGCUAAAUAUAGGCGAGAGACCGAUAGCGAACAAGUACCGUGAGGGAAAGAUGAAAAGAACUUUGGAAAGAGAGUUAAACAGUACGUGAAAUUGUUGAAAGGGAAACGCUUGAAGUCAGUCGCGUCUCUCAGAGAUCAACCUGGCCUUUUCGCUUGGUGCACUCUCUGUUGGAUGGGUCAGCAUCAAUUUUGACUGGGGGAAAAAGUCUGUGGGGAUGUGGCACCCUUGUGGUGUGUUAUAACCUGCUUGCAUAUACCUCUGUUGGGAUUGAGGAACUCAGCACGCCUAAAGGCCGGACUUUAGUCACGUACGUGCUUAGGAUGCUGGCAUAAUGUCUUCAAUCGACCCGUCUUGAAACACGGACCAAGGAGUCUAACAUGCGCGCAAGUGUUUGGGUGAAAAACCCAAGUGCGUAAUGAAAGUGAAAGUUGAGACCUCUGUCGUGGAGGGCAUCGACGCCCGGAUCAGAUCUUUUGGGACGAUUCCGAGGUAGAGCGUGCACGUUGGGACCCGAAAGAUGGUGAACUAUGCUUGAAUAGGGUGAAGCCA
rnacentral:rRNA from 1 species